GCCAUCGCCACCUCAAGUUGGACUGCGGCAGCAGGUGCGGCCCCUGUCCCUCUGUGGUGUUCCAGGGAUGUGCCUUUCAUUGGUGUGGACUUCACAGGCAUUCUUCACAUUUAGCACCAAGGUCCAUGUAACCUUCUGUCUCAGCAUAUGUGCCACUUUGAUGAGGAGCUCUUUAUUUUACAGGGAUAUAUGGUCUUACUGUGGGUCUUAAAUUGU